UGAGAGUGGCGGAAGGGCGAGGAACACGUGGGCAACCUGUCCUUGAGGUGGGGAAAACCGCUGGAAACGGCGGCUAAUACCGAAUGUCGGCGCCGGGAGGCAUCUCCCGAGCGCUAAAGGGGGCGAAAGCUCCCCCUCUUCGAGGGGCUUGCGCACCAUCAGCUUGUUGGCGGGUAACGGCCCACCAAGGCUCACGGUUAGCUGGUCUGAGAGGAUGGCCAGCCGCACUGGGACUGAGAUACUGCCCAGACUCCUACGGGAGCUGCAGUCGAGGAUCAUUCGCAAUGGGCGAAAGCCUGACGAUGCGACGCUGCGUGGAAGGGAUGAAGGCCUUCGGGUUGUAAACUCCUGUCAUGAGGGAAAAGGAGACCUUACCUAAUACGUAGGGAAUUUGAUGGUACCUCAAGAGGAAGGGACGGCUAACUCUGUGCCAGCCGCAGC
rnacentral:rRNA from 1 species